GGGUAGCCUUCCGCUCGGUCGGAGCCGCGGUCACGGGGCUUGGCGGUGGCCCUCGUCCUUCGUUACUCAGGAGAAAAAAAGAGGGAGCGAGAGAGAGAAAAUCAAGUCGCAGCCGGCUUGGCCCGGUGUUGGGGGCGGUCGCGCGGAACGGUGAGGCUGUGAGAACUUCCCCAGCUGCUGACUGAAGUGGGAAGUGAGGUGUGAACUGAGACCCCGGGAGAGAGGCCCUCCGGGUAGGACCUGGCCUCGGACUGGCGGCGUAAAGGGUGGCGUUGCCACCGACUGAGAGUGGUUGAGCUGGCCUCUGGCCGAGUGUGGGGAGAGAGGCUUCACUUCUUUGUACACAUGUGCAGAGGCUAUGAAGUCCAGGAUUAAGGUGCUGGCCAAUUCAGUUUCUGGUGAAGACUCUUCUGGAGUUGCAGACUUCUGAGUUUAUCUUCAAAUGGCCUUUCCCCAGUGGGCGUAUGUGGGGAGAGGGGAGAGCCAUCCUGCCUGAAACUCAGGAAACACAAGGUCCCUGGUUGUGUAACAUGAGUACACUUGAAAGUUCCUCGUCCUUAUCUGGCAACCCAGAUGGAUAAAUACUGGCCCUGAAGAUGCUUUUCUUAAAACUGCUUGGAGCCAGACAGUUUGAACAGAACCUCAUCUGGAGUGUGUUAACUCUUCUCCCCCGGCGCUGGCAGAGAUCUGGGAUCAGCUCUGCAUUAGGACAAGUUGUAAGUAAACACGCAUUUGUGCUAAUGUGGCUCCUCCUCCCAUCCCAUAGCCUUAUCUUAGAUUUGUGCAGCUUCAAAUCAGGGAACAGGAGUGUGUUUGGAAAAAACCUUAGAUCUCAUUUAAGCCAGCCCACCCAUUUUACGGAAGAGCCAAUUGAAGAUGUUAAGUUGUUCAUGUUCACGGAGAUAACUUGGGGAUGUGAACAGAGCUGGAAAGCAGGUCUUCUGACUCUUAGUUAACUUUUACCACAACCAUGUACUUCAAUUUUCACUCAUUCCUUCAAAAAAUAUGUAUUGAGCUGCUAACACCUUUUGC
ensembl:lncRNA